rnacentral:tRNA from 1 species
GGAGUGGCGCAAUUGGUAGCGCAACGGUCUCCAAAACCGUAGGUUGUGGGUUCGAGUCCCGCUUCCC